GGAUGAACUACUAAAAUUUUCGUGCGCCUUUCCGCCAUUUCUUCUAUGGACAUGUGGUCGCCAUCAUGCUUUGAUAGGAGCCACAUGAAACUUGGAAAGCUGCGUGUAAAUCCGUGUAAAUUACUAAAUUUGUAUUGCUUGGGUCGACAUCUUUUGUUCGUCUUCCCAUUAUCGUUGAUUGGAUUUACGAAACAGAUUUCUUGCCUGAGCGUAAAGUAUAUUUUCAAUCACUGAAUGCAGUUUCAUCAGCCAUUCAUUUUUAGGUGUUCUCAUUAUCAACCAGAACAUUUUUAUACGAUACAUUUUUGUCUGUUAUUAUUACUUUUUUUGCAGUUCAUGGUUGACAGUAUGUAUUAUCCUUUUGGUUUCCCAGACGUAAACCUGCUGCUCUGAAAGCCAUGAAAUUAUUAAACUGUAAACGUUUUGGAAUACAACAGCAAGCAUUCCUGAUGAUAAGAUUAUGGAUAACCGAACUCUUAAAGGGUCUCGAGAUGAAAUUGUUUAAUGCUAGGUAUCAGAAAUUACAUUCGACUACCUAGCAAGUGAGAUCUGGGCCAUGCACUAAGACAAAAAUGGCUUAUUGUAAUUUCUUUAUAUUUUUUAAAUCCUUUUAUUAACCAGAAAAAUCCUCGUUCAGGCAUAGUUUGGACACAAACUAAUUUUUUUUCCGCUGUUAACAGAUUUUUUACUAAUUUGGUAUGCGUCAGUAUAGUAAUCAUGUUGAAUGAUAAGACAUUAGGAAUAUUCAUUUGAGUAAAUUUUUUACUUAGCUGCUAACCUAAUAUACAUCAUGACGCAUGUUGUAAUCCUUGACCAACAUGAGGUAUCCCAACAUUAAAACUUCUAAGCAUAGGUAA